rnacentral:lncRNA from 1 species
AGAUAUUUGACCCAGAUUAAAUAUUAAUACCCUAAAUUUUGUAUGAAAAUGGUCGGCGUAUUCACGAAACCAAACCGACUCAAAUGUGACUAUAUUUAAACUUGGCUGGUUAUUUUUUAUGCGAGUUCAAGUUCUAAUUUGAGCUAUACAAUUAUAAUUCAUUUCAAACUCAAAUCUAUUCAAAUUUAGCUAGUUAAAAUAAGAUUUAUAUAUGUGAUAUUGAUAAUCGUAGAAUACGGGCUUUCAUGUUUAUAGAAUUCUACACACCUCUUUAUAUAUAAAAAAAUUUCCGUGCAACUUUCAACUCACUACUAUAAAUUCGAAAUUAUAUUCAUAAUCUUCGACUAUCUUGAUUUCGCUAUAUUCGACAUCGUUAACGAACAACAUCUUCAAUCCAGGGGGGAACACAAGAAUACAAGUAAUGAUUGAUGAACAUGUGUUAUCCUCUCCGUCCUAAAAAUUAACAGUCGUUUCAUGCAAACGACACCGUUUUAUCUACUGCAUCACCGGCGGCGGAGCAUAAUUAGCAUGCCUAGCUGGGCGUGAAAUGCUUCUCGCUGCUCCAAUUUUCAGCUGUAGCAAAUCUUGUUCUUGAUCAUGCUUCAUAUCUGCACCCCAAAACCAACCAGCUGCAUAAUUUUAAGAUGGUUCAAUAACUGAAGUGGGCUGGACUAAGGUCCCUAUAUCCACCGCUAAAAGAUGGCUUUCGGUUCAAGAAGAACACGGAGAAGAGACGAAUUACCUGGAAGAAAAUAUACGACCCUUUGAGCCAUGGAGGUCGGCCCGGAGGAAAAGGCCAUCAUCAUCAACAAGAGCAAGCUAAUGGUCAUGCAAAUCUGAACAUUGCCUCUAUGUAUACUGCUAUCCUUCAUUUUUUGCUUCUCUCUUUGAUCUUUCGUGGCCUCCUUUAUUGUUUAUUAUAUAGAAGAAACGUUAUCGUUUUGUAGCUAUAUUAGGUUACCAAGAUGCUUGUUUGUAUGUGCUUUAUUGACGGAUUCCUCUGCAAAUUGAGUCCACA